rnacentral:sRNA from 1 species
GCCGGGCACGGUGGCAUGUGCCUGUAAUCCCAGCUACUCAGGAGGCUGAGGCAGGAGAAUUGCUUGAACCCAGGAGGUGGAGGUUGCAGUGAGCAGAGAUCAUGCCACUGCACUCCAGCCUGGGUGACAGAGCAAGACUCUGUCUCAA